rnacentral:rRNA from 1 species
CCUACGGGAGGCAGCAGUGGGGAAUCUUGGACAAUGGGGGCAACCCUGAUCCAGCAAUGCCGCGUGGGUGAAGAAGGCCUUUGGGUUGUAAAGCCCUUUCGGCAGGGAAGAAGGCGUUGGAGCUGAACAGGUUUUGACGUUUGACGGUACCUGCAGAAGAAGCACCGGCUAACUACGUGCCAGCAGCCGCGGUAAUA